rnacentral:misc_RNA from 1 species
AAUUACUACUCACAGUAUCCUCCGAUGCACAGGCUUCAACCCAUCCCUUACAUCUGGCAAAGCCCUUCCAAGCAAAACCGACAUGGCGUAGGCCAUGUAAGCCUCGGUGGCCUCUUUGUGAAGCUCUGUAGGCACAACUCUUCCGUCGCUGCCCCCAUUUGAAUCCUUCACCAACAAACUCCCAUUUUGCUCUCGAGAAUCCCUCUCCUCUCUGGCCGAGGAGUAG